rnacentral:rRNA from 1 species
CCUACGGGAGGCAGCAGUGGGGAAUAUUGGACAAUGGGGGCAACCCUGAUCCAGCCAUGCCGCGUGUGUGAAGAAGGCCCUCGGGUUGUAAAGCACUUUCAGUGAGGAAGAACGCCUGGUGGUUAAUACCCAUCAGGAAAGACAUCACUCACAGAAGAAGCACCGGCUAACUCCGUGCCAGCAGCCGCGGUAAUACGGAGGGUGCGAGCGUUAAUCGGAAUUACUGGGCGUAAAGCGCGCGUAGGUGGCUUGAUAAGCCGGUUGUGAAAGCCCCGGGCUCAACCUGGGAACGGCAUCCGGAACUGUCAAGCUAGAGUGCAGGAGAGGAAGGUAGAAUUCCCGGUGUAGCGGUGAAAUGCGUAGAGAUCGGGAGGAAUACCAGUGGCGAAGGCGGCCUUCUGGACUGACACUGACACUGAGGUGCGAAAGCGUGGGUAGCAAACAGGAUUAGAUACCCCUGUAGUG